rnacentral:rRNA from 1 species
UACGAAGGGGGCUAGCGUUGCUCGGAAUUACUGGGCGUAAAGCGCACGUAGGCGGCUUUCUAAGUCGGGGGUGAAAUCCUGGAGCUCAACUCCAGAACUGCCUUCGAUACUGGAGAGCUUGAGUCCGGGAGAGGUGAGUGGAACUGCGAGUGUAGAGGUGAAAUUCGUAGAUAUUCGCAAGAACACCAGUGGCGAAGGCGGCUCACUGGCCCGAUACUGACACUGAGGCACGAAAGCGUGGGGAGCAAACAGG